rnacentral:rRNA from 1 species
UAGCAUACCAAGGCGAGUGGGAUAACUAUGGUUAAGGAACUCGGCAAAUUGCCUCCGUAACUUCGGGAGAAGGAGGACCCCAGUAGCGUGAUGAGACUUGCUCUCUGAGCGUGAAGGGGUGGCACAAAAUUGAGGGAAGCGACUGUUUACCAAAAACACAGCAGCGUGCUAAGCCGUAAGGCGCUGUAUACGCUGUGACUCCUGCCCGGUGCUGGAAGGUUACGGGGAUGGGUUAGUCCUUCGGGACGAAGCUCUGAACCUAAGCCCCAGUAAACGGCGGCCGUAACUAUAACGGUCCUAAGGUAGCGAAAUUCCUUGUCGGGUAAGUUCCGACCUGCACGAAUGGAGUAACGACUUCCCUACUGUCUCAACCAUAGACCCAGCGAAAUUGAAGUACGAGUAAAGAUGCUCGUUAGCUGCAGAAGGACGGAAAGACCCCGUGGACCUUUACUAUAACUUGAUGUUGUGUUUUGUCAUAUGUUGUGUAGGAUAGGUGGGAGACUUGGAAGCAUGGACGCUAGUCUGUGUGGAGUCAUCGUUGAAAUACCACCCUGCAUAUGGUGAGGCUCUAACCUAGACCCGUUAUCCGGGUUGGGGACAGCGUCAGGCGGGUAGUUUAACUGGGGCGGUUGCCUCCUAAAGAGUAACGGAGGCGCCCAAAGGUUCCCUCAGCCUGGUUAGCAAUCAGGCGUUGAGUGCAAUGGCAAAAGGGAGCUUGACUGCGAGACCUACAAGUCGAGCAGGAGCGAAAGCUGGGCAUAGUGAUCCGGCGGUUGCGUGUGGAAGCGCCGUCGCUCAACGGAUAAAAGGUACCCCGGGGAUAACAGGCUAAUCUUGCCCAAGCGUCCAUAGCGACGGCAAGGUUUGGCACCUCGAUGUCGGCUCAUCGCAUCCUGGGGCUGAAGCAGGUCCCAAGGGUUGGGCUGUUCGCCCAUUAAAGCGGUACGCGAGCUGGGUUCAGAACGUCGUGAGACAGUUCGGUCCCUAUCCUCUGCAGCCGGAGGUGAAUUGAGGAAAGCUGUCCCUAGUACGAGAGGACCGGGACGGACGCAGCUCUCGUGUGCCAGUUGUCCUGCCAAGGGCAUGGCUGGUUAGCGACCUGCGGAAAGGAUAACCGCUGAAAGCAUCUAAGCGGGAAGCCUCUUCCAAGAUGAAUUCACCCACAGGGUUAACCUGGUAAGGCCCGUGGUAGACCACCACGUUGAUAGGCCGGA